GAUGAACGCUGGCGGCGUGCCUAACACAUGCAAGUCGAGCGAGAAGUAAAGAAAUGAAGCUUCGGUAGAUUUUCAUUAUGGAAAGCGGCGGACGGGUGAGUAACGCGUAGGCAACCUGCCCUGUACAGGGGGAUAGCCACCCGAAAAGGUGAUUAAUACCCCAUAAAGCAAGAGAUACACAUGUAUCACUUGUCAAAGAUUUAUCGGUAUGGGAUGGGGCUGCGUCUGAUUAGCUAGUUGGUAGGGUAACGGCUUACCAAGGCAACGAUCAGUAGCCGACCUGAGAGGGUGAUCGGCCACAUUGGAACUGAGACACGGUCCAAACUCCUACGGGAGGCAGCAGUGGGGAAUAUUGCACAAUGAGGGAAACCCUGAUGCAGCAACGCCGCGUGAAGGAAGAAGGCCUUCGGGUUGUAAACUUCUGUCCUAGGGGAAGAAACAAAUGACAUACCCUGAGGAGCCCC
rnacentral:rRNA from 1 species